rnacentral:rRNA from 1 species
AGGGAAUCUUCCGCAAUGGACGAAAGUCUGACGGAGCAACGCCGCGUGAGUGAAGAAGGCCUUCGGGUCGUAAAACUCUGUUGCCGGGGAAGAACAAGUGCCGUUCGAACAGGGCGGUGCCUUGACGGUACCCGGCCAGAAAGCCACGGCUAACUACGUGCCAGCAGCCGCAGUAAUACGUAGGGGGCGAGCGUUGUCCGGAAUUAUUGGGCGUAAAGCGCGCGCAGGCGGUUUCUUAAGUCUGAUGUGAAAUCUUGCGGCUCAACCGCAAGCGGUCAUUGGAAACUGGGAGGCUUGAGUGCAGAAGAGGAGAGUGGAAUUCCACGUGUAGCGGUGAAAUGCGUAGAGAUGUGGAGGAACACCAGUGGCGAAGGCGGCUCUCUGGUCUGUAACUGACGCUGAGGCGCGAAAGCGUGGGGAGCAAAC